rnacentral:rRNA from 1 species
GAUGAACGCUGGCGGCAUGCCUAACACAUGCAAGUCGAACGGUAAGGCCCUUCGGAGUACACGAGAGGCGGACGGCUGAGUAACGCGUAGGAACACACCCUGCAGCCAGGGAUAAGACACCGAAAGGUGUUCUAAUACCGCAUACGGUCUUCGGAUUAAAGCAUUUAUGCGCUGAAGGAGUGGCCUGCGUCAUAUUAGAUAGUUGGUGAGGUAAUGGCUCACCAAGUCGAUGAUGUGUAGCUGGUCUGGGAGGAUGAUCAGCCAGACUGGAACUGAGACACGGUCCAGACUCCUACGGGAGGCAGCAGUGAGGAAUAUUUCACAAUGAGCGAAAGCGUGAUGGAGCAAUGCCGCGUGCAGGAUGAAGGCCCUCGGGUUGUAAUCUGCUUUUAUAAGAGAAGAUUAUGACGGUAACUUAUGAAUAAGGGACGGCUAACUACGUG